rnacentral:rRNA from 1 species
GAUGAACGCUGGCGGCGUGCCUAAUACACGCAAGUCGAGCGAACAGACGAGGAGCUUGCUCCUCUGACGUUAGCGGCGGACGGGUGAGUAACACGUGGAUAACCUACCUAUAAGACUGGGAUAACUUCGGGAAACCGGAGCUAAUACCGGAUAAUAUAUUGAACCGCAUGGUUCAAUAGUGAAAGACGGUUUUGCUGUCACUUAUAGAUGGAUCCGCGCCGCAUUAGCUAGUUGGUAAGGUAACGGCUUACCAAGGCAACGAUGCGUAGCCGGCCUGAGAGGGUGAUCGGCCACACUGGAACUGAGACACGGUCCAGACUCCUACGGGAGGCAGCAGUAGGGAAUCUUCCGCAAUGGGCGAAAGCUUGACGGAGCAACGCCGCGUGAGUGAUGAAGGUCUUCGGAUCGUAAAACUCUGUUAUUAGGGAAGAACAAAUGUGUAAGUAACUAUGCACGUCUUGACGGUACCUAAUCAGAAAGCCACGGCUAACUACGUG